AAUAGCCUAACGGCUGAACCAGCAACUUGGAAGAACGUAUAGUGAAAGCUAGUUGUACUAAUUACAAUAUCGACUUAGUCGAAUAAAGUUCUGAGUAGAGUUAUGAUAAUGACAUUAUCUACUCAUAUGUCUUGACCAAAAUACGUGCCAGCAGUCGCGGUAAGACGUAAAAGACUAGUGUUAUUCAUCUUUAUUAGGUUUAAAGGGUACCUAGACGGUAAGUAAAGCCAUCUGGAACUAAUUUACUAGAGUUACUUACGAAGGAGCACUAAAGUACUAGUGGUGUAGAGAUAAAAUUCUAUAAUACCUUUUUUCAAAAAGAAAGUAAUGGCACAAAUAUAGGCGAAAGCAUCUCCUUAUGUGAUAGCUUUAAGUAGCGAACAGGAUUAGAUACCCUGGUAGUUGAAGCAGAUAAUGAUGAGUGUCAUAGGUUGGCUCAUUCUAUAAAUGAAAAUGUAAGCACUCCACCUCAAGAGUAAUUUGGCAACAUAGGAACUGAAAUCAUUAGACCGUUUCUGAAACCAGUAGUGAAGUAUGUUAUUUAAUUUGAUAAUACGCAAAAAACCUUACCAUGAAUGUUCACAAGUGUUGCACGGCUGUCUUCAGUUAAUGUCGUGAGAUUAUGGUUAGUUCCAUUAAAUUAACGUAAACCCUUGCUUUAUUUAUAUAUAAAGUAGUUCUCCGCUAUAUAGGAUAAGAUAACAGGGACUAAGACAAGUCAUCAUGGCCUAAAUGUUGUGAGCCUUUACAAAAGGAUGUGAAAUUAUAAAAUUGAGCUAAUCCCCC
rnacentral:rRNA from 1 species